rnacentral:rRNA from 1 species
UACAGAGGUCUCGAGCGUUGUUCGGAUUCAUUGGGCGUAAAGGGUGCGUAGGUGGUCGCGUAAGUCGGAUGUGAAAUCCCGGGGCUCAACCCCGGAACUGCAUUCGAUACUGCGUGGCUGGAGUCCUGGAGAGGAGAUCGGAAUUUACGGUGUAGCAGUGAAAUGCGUAGAUAUCGUAAGGAAGACCAGUGGCGAAGGCGGAUCUCUGGACAGGUACUGACACUGAGGCACGAAGGCCAGGGGAGCAAACGGG